rnacentral:rRNA from 1 species
CGAGUGGCGAACGGGUGAGUAACACGUGGGUGAUCUGCACUGCACUCUGGGAUAAGCCUGGGAAACUGGGUCUAAUACCGGAUAGGACCAUGCUUUAGUGUGUGUGGUGGAAAGUUUUUUCGGUGUAGGAUGAGCCCGCGGCCUAUCAGCUUGUUGGUGGGGUAAUGGCCUACCAAGGCGGCGACGGGUAGCCGGACUGAGAGGUUGGUCGGCCACAUUGGGACUGAGAUACGGCCCAG